rnacentral:rRNA from 1 species
GAGUUUGAUCCUGGCUCAGGAUGAACGCUGGCGGCGUGCUUAACACAUGCAAGUCGAACGAAGCACUUUAUUUGAUUUCCUUCGGGACUGAUUAUUUUGUGACUGAGUGGCGGACGGGUGAGUAACGCGUGGGUAACCUGCCUUGUACAGGGGGAUAACAGUUGGAAACGGCUGCUAAUACCGCAUAAGCGCACAGCAUCGCAUGAUGCAGUGUGAAAAACUCCGGUGGUAUAAGAUGGACCCGCGUUGGAUUAGCUAGUUGGUGAGGUAACGGCCCACCAAGGCGACGAUCCAUAGCCGACCUGAGAGGGUGACCGGCCACAUUGGGACUGAGACACGGCCCAAACUCCUACGGGAGGCAGCAGUGGGGAAUAUUGCACAAUGGGCGAAAGCCUGAUGCAGCGACGCCGCGUGAGCGAAGAAGUAUUUCGGUAUGUAAACCUCUAUCAGCAGGGAAGAAAAUGACGGUACCUGACUAAGAAGCACCGGCUAACUACGUGCCAGCAGCCGCGGUAAUUC